CUAACAAGGAUUCCCCUAGUAACUGCGAGUGAAGCGGGAAAAGCUCAAAUUUAAAAUCUGGUAGCCUUUGGCUGUCCGAGUUGUAAUCUAGAGAAGCGUUAUCCGCGUUGGACCGUGUACAAGUCUCCUGGAAUGGAGCGUCAUAGAGGGUGAGAAUCCCGUCUUUGACACGGACUGCCAGGGCUUUGUGAUGCGCUCUCAAAGAGUCGAGUUGUUUGGGAAUGCAGCUCAAAAUGGGUGGUAAAUUCCAUCUAAAGCUAAAUAUUGGCGAGAGACCGAUAGCGAACAAGUACCGUGAGGGAAAGAUGAAAAGAACUUUGGAAAGAGAGUUAAACAGUACGUGAAAUUGCUGAAAGGGAAACGCUUGAAGUCAGUCGCGUUGGUCAGGAAUCAACCUUGCUUUUGCUUGGUGUACUUUCUGGUUGAUGGGUCAGCAUCAAUUUUGAUCAUUGGAAAAAGGUCAAGGGAAUGUGGCAUCUUCGGAUGUGUUAUAGCCCUUGGUUGCAUACAAUGGUUGGGAUUGAGGAACUCAGCACGCCGCAAGGCCAGGUUUUUAACCAUGUACGUGCUUAGGAUGCUGGCAUAAUGGCUUUAAUCGACCCGUCUUGAAACACGGACCAAGGAGUCUAACAUGCCUGCGAGUGUUUGGGUGGAAAACCCGAGCGCGUAAUGAAAGUGAAAGUUGAGAUCCCUGUCGUGGGGAGCAUCGACGCCCGGACCAGACCUUUUGUGACGGUUCCGCGGUAGAGCAUGUAUGUUGGGACCCGAAAGAUGGUGAACUAUGCCUGAAUAGGGUGAAGCCAGAGGAAACUCUGGUGGAGGCUCGUAGCGAUUCUGACGUGCAAAUCGAUCGUCAAAUUUGGGUAUAGGGGCGAAAGACUAAUCGAACCAUCUAGUAGCUGG
rnacentral:rRNA from 1 species